ACUCCUACGGGAGGCAGCAGUGGGGAAUCUUGGACAAUGGGCGCAAGCCUGAUCCAGCCAUGCCGCGUGAGUGAUGAAGGCCCUAGGGUCGUAAAAGCUCUUUCGCCUGUGAUGAUAAUGACAGUAGCAGGUAAAGAAACCCCGGGCUAACUCCGUGCCAGCAGCCGCGGUAAUACGGAGGGGGUUAGCGUUGUUCGGAAUUACUGGGCGUAAAGCGCGCGUAGGCGGACUAUUAAGUCAGAGGUGAAAUCCCGGGGCUCAACCCCGGAACUGCCUUUGAUACUGGUAGUCUAGAGUUCGAGAGAGGUGAGUGGAAUUCCGAGUGUAGAGGUGAAAUUCGUAGAUAUUCGGAGGAACACCAGUGGCGAAGGCGGCUCACUGGCUCGAUACUGACGCUGAGGUGCGAAAGUGUGGGGGGCAAACA
rnacentral:rRNA from 1 species